rnacentral:rRNA from 1 species
AGAGUUUGAUCAUGGCUCAGGAUGAACGCUAGCGACAGGCCUAACACAUGCAAGUCGAGGGGCAUCGGGACGUAGCAAUACGUUGCCGGCGACCGGCGGAUGGGUGAGUAACGCGUAUGCAACCUACCCGUAGCAGGGGGAUAGCCCGUUGAAAGACGGAUUAAUACCCCGUAACACAGGGGCUCCGCAUGGAGAUUAUUGUUAAAGGGUCAUUUCUUUUAGAGGUGGUCCGGCUGCGGAUGGGCAUGCGUUCCAUUAGGUAGUUGGUGUAGGUAACAGCUCACCAAGCCGACGAUGGAUAGGGGAACUGAGAGGUUGGUCCCCCACACUGGUACUGAGACACGGACCAGACUCCUACGGGAGGCAGCAGUGAGGAAUCUUGGUCAAUGGACGCAAGUCUGAACCAGCCAUGUCGCGUGAAGGAGGACGGCCCUAAGGGUUGUAAACUUCUUUUGCAGCGGAAUAAAGUUUGCCACGAGUUGGCAAUUUGCAAGUACGCUGCGAAUAAGGAUCGGCUAACUCCGUGCCAGCAGCCGCGGUAAU